GAGCCUCGAUUUUCGGUUCAGCUCGUUGACACCUGAAGCCUUUUUGGCACUUUUCCAUUAAUGAGUCUUAGCCAUGUACCAUUAUGUACAUUUAGUUUCAAAUGCUCUUCAACUAAAAUUUAUACUCAAGAUCUUUUAGCUGACUCAUCAAUAUUCUUUUUGGCUGUUACUCAUUUCAAUUUCCAAACUUAACAAAAUGUAAAAAAACUAUUCCACUCUUUAGUCUGAAUUCCAUUUACAGAGGCAAAAAUGUCCGAGGAUGUGUAAAUUAGGAUUCAUAAUUGUAUGAUAUUAUUUCUCUCAUAGUAGGCUUACUUUCAUUAUCAUGGACCAACUUCUAUUUACAUGUAAAUUGACAUGCUGAGCAUUACUUUACACCAGUUUUUCAACCAAU
rnacentral:lncRNA from 1 species